GGCACGGUAGCUUAGUUGGUAAUGCACUUGUCUAGCGAAUAAGGGUCGUGAGUUCCAAUCUUACCUGAGCUG
rnacentral:tRNA from 1 species